rnacentral:rRNA from 1 species
GAGUUUGAUCCUGGCUCAGGAUGAACGCUGGCGGCGUGCUUAACACAUGCAAGUCGAGCGAAGCACUUAAGUUCGAUUCUUCGGAUGAGGACUUUUGUGACUGAGCGGCGGACGGGUGAGUAACGCGUGGGUAACCUGCCUCAUACAGGGGGAUAACAGUUAGAAAUGGCUGCUAAUACCGCAUAAGACCACAGUACUGCAUGGUACAGUGGUAAAAACUCCGGUGGUAUGAGAUGGACCCGCGUCUGAUUAGGUAGUUGGUGAGGUAACGGCUCACCAAGCCGACGAUCAGUAGCCGACCUGAGAGGGUGACCGGCCACAUUGGGACUGAGACACGGCCCAGACUCCUACGGGAGGCAGCAGUGGGGAAUAUUGCACAAUGGGCGAAAGCCUGAUGCAGCGACGCCGCGUGAAGGAUGAAGUAUUUCGGUAUGUAAACUUCUAUCAGCAGGGAAGAAAAUGACGGUACCUGACUAAGAAGCCCCGGCUAACUACGUGCCAGCAGCCGCGGUAAUAC